rnacentral:tRNA from 1 species
UCGGAUAUGGUGUAACGGCUAACAUUGCUGCCUCUCAUUCAGUAGAGUUUGUCCGCAGCAGCUCGGGGUUCGAUUCCCCGUAUCCGAA